ensembl:lncRNA
AAAGACCCUACAGUGACACAAAAAGAGUUCAGUUUAGAGUCUGUUUUCAGCAGCGAUGUUCAAAAACUGUCAAAGAAAACACGGCUAACAGCAUCAAGGAAGCUGAACAGACAAACAAACCAAAUAGUUGAAUUUAAGCUAAUGGCGUCCAACCUGCUUGCCUUUCUCAAAAAGGUCAAAGAUUCAAACAUGUUUGUACAUAAAUAUCACUUCAGACUUUUCCACGGUAGCCCUCAUUGCCUUAAAACAGUAAAUAUGUCCUUUAAAAAGGCAGAUAAGAAAGGAGACUUGUUUUGGUUUCACUUCAAAACAAACAUAUAAGCAGAAGGGCGAUGUUUGCAGGGCGAUGAAACAAGGUUGGAAACCACAGGUGCAUGAGUGUAUGAGGAUUCUUAACCUGGGCCAGGUGGGCAGCCUCCAAAAGGCUUCAUCAUUUCAGGGAGCCAGAAAGUUUCAGGCACAGUGGGGAUGAACUGUUUUGUGCUACUGUUUUGUUUUUUUUUCUUUUUCUUUUUCUUUACAGAUUAAGUGCAGCACUGACCACACAGGCAUUAACACUAACAGUUUUGUUUUUCUUUUGUUUUGUUUUUUAAAUAACAUUUUAAAGAAUAGUUUGACAUUUUGAGAAAUAUUCUUUGACUUGUUGCUGGCUUGGAUGAGAAGAUCAGUAUCACUUUAAUUUCUCUGCAGUAGUUACAUUGUAUCAGCUUAGCUAAGCUUAGCUACACUUGCUAUAUCUAAAUCAAACACAUAUAUCUUUUUAAUGAUGGGGGGCAGUUUUAUGGCAAUACUAACUUUCUCUAUUUUCCACUUGUUAUGUGCAUUGAAGACCAGCAAAUAGAAAGCCUUCUUUUUUACUAACUAACAAAACUUAUAUAAUGCGCUACUUUCAGUGAGAAUUUGUUACAUUUCUGUGUCAAGGUAGUGCUUAUGAACAAACAUGCUACAUAUUUACAGACAUCUUUUCUUCUUAUCUUCUCUUAUGUUGUCCAUUAAAAAGAGCAUUAACUUUUCUCUUUCCUCACUGCUAACCAGUUUCUGAAGAUAUCUGCCUGACCCUGGUUCUGCCCGAGGUUUCUUCCUGUGAAAAGGGAGUUUUUCCUUUCUACUGUCAUCAAAUUUUCAUUGUUGGGGUUUUCUUUCUAAUAUUCUGGGAUCCUUACUCUACAGUAUAAAGCUCCUUGAGGUGACUGUUGAGAUUUGGUGCUAUAUAAAUAAAUUUGAAUUGAACCGACUGUUGGAAAGUCCAUUGA